rnacentral:rRNA from 1 species
GUUUGAUCCUGGCUCAGGACGAACGCUGGCGGCGUGCUUAACACAUGCAAGUCGAGCGGGGUUUAUCGGAUUAGCUUGCUAAACUGAUAAACCUAGCGGCGGACGGGUGAGUAACGCGUGAGCAAUCUGCCUCAUACAGGGGGAUAACAGGUGGAAACACCUGCUAAUACCGCAUAAGGCUCCACUACCGCAUGGUAGAGAAGUCAAAGGGAUUACCGGUAUGAGAUGAGCUCGCGUCCCAUUAGCUAGUUGGUAGGGUAAAGGCCUACCAAGGCGACGAUGGGUAGCCGACCUGAGAGGGUGAUCGGCCACACUGGGACUGAGACACGGCCCAGACUCCUACGGGAGGCAGCAGUGGGGAAUAUUGCACAAUGGAGGGAACUCUGAUGCAGCAACGCCGCGUGAGUGAAGAAGGUUUUCGGAUCGUAAAACUCUGUCAUUGGGGAAGAAUAAAUGACGGUACCCAAUGAGGAAGCCCCGGCUAACUACGUGCCAGCAGCCGCGGUAAUACGUAGGGGGCGAGCGUUGUCCGGAAUUACUGGGCGUAAAGGGUACGUAGGCGGCUAUAUAAGUCAGGUGUGAAAUACCAGUGCUUAACACUGGAAUUGCAUUUGAACUGUGUAGCUUGAGUGCAGAGAGGAAAGUGGAAUCUAGUGUAGCGGUGAGAUGCGUAGAGAUAGAGACACAGUGCGAGCGACUUUCUGUACKGUAACUGACGC